rnacentral:rRNA from 1 species
UACGUAGGGCGCAAGCGUUAUCCGGAUUCACUGGGUUUAAAGGGUGCGUAGGCGGGUUUUUAAGUCAGCGGUGAAAGCUCCGGGCUCAACUCGGAAAUUGCUUUGCAUACUGGCAGGCUGGAGGGACGCAGAGGUCUGUGGAAUUCCUGGUGUAACGGUGAAAUGUGUUGAUAUCAGGAGGAACACCCAUGGCGAAGGCAGCAGACUGGGCGUUUCCUGACGCUGAGGCGCGAAAGCGUGGGUAGCAAACAGG